rnacentral:rRNA from 1 species
GACGAACGCUGGCGGCGUGCCUAAUACAUGCAAGUUGAGCGCUGAAGGUUGGUACUUGUACCGACUGGAUGAGCAGCGAACGGGUGAGUAACGCGUGGGGAAUCUGCCUUUGAGCGGGGGACAACAUUUGGAAACGAAUGCUAAUACCGCAUAAAAACUUUAAACACAAGUUUUAAGUUUGAAAGAUGCAAUUGCAUCACUCAAAGAUGAUCCCGCGUUGUAUUAGCUAGUUGGUGAGGUAAGGCUCACCAAGGCGAUGAUACAUAGCCGACCUGAGAGGGUGAUCGGCCACAUUGGGACUGAGACACGGCCCAAACUCCUACGGGAGGCAGCAGUAGGGAAUCUUCGGCAAUGGACGAAAGUCUGACCGAGCAACGCCGCGUGAGUGAAGAAGGUUUUCGGAUCGUAAAACUCUGUUGGUAGAGAAGAACGUUGGUGAGAGUGGAAAGCUCAUCAAGUGACGGUAACUACCCAGAAAGGGACGGCUAACUACGUG